UAUCUUUUCUUUGUGUUGGGAACAUUAUAAUUUUUCUCUGCUAGCUAUUUUAGAAUAUAUAAUAAAUUAUUGUUCCCUAUGAUUUCUCCAUUGUAUAAUUGAAUACUAAAAUUUAUUAUGUCUAUCUACAUAUCCCCAGUUCAAUAACUAUAAUUUCUCUGCUGUGCAAUCAAAUACUAGAACUUCUUCCUUCGAACGCUAUAUCCCUAAUUCAAUAACAAGUAAACUGAAGCUCAGCAUGGUCUAGGAACUUUGUUACAUUAACACAGCAAGUGAGUGUUGCAGCCUGGAUCCAAAAAUCAGGCCUGGUCGACCUCAAAGUCCAGAUUAUUGACCUUUCUACCAUAAUGUAUGGAGGAAUUAGAGAAAGAACAAAUCAGUGUGAAGGAGAAUUGUCAGUAAAAUUACAAGAAAAGAUUGAGAUCAUAAUUGACCUUUGAGGAUAAUAAAAUUUAAAGACCAAAAGGAUGGACUUCACAGAAACAUGACCUUAGGUUGUUUUUGCAGUUGUAGUAACUGGUUAUAUGACCAACAAAAUAUGAAGAAUGGGUACAAAUUCUGAUAGUAAUGAUCAGUCACUUUGCAAAUAUAAAGUUACUAUUUACUACUGUA
rnacentral:lncRNA from 1 species